rnacentral:rRNA from 1 species
GGUGAAAAGCACCCCGGAAGGGGAGUGAAAUAGAACCUGAAACCGUGUGCUUACAAGUAGUCAGAGCCCGUUAAUGGGUGAUGGCGUGCCUUUUGUAGAAUGAACCGGCGAGUUACGAUUUGAUGCAAGGUUAAGCAGUAAAUGUGGAGCCGUAGCGAAAGCGAGUCUGAAUAGGGCGUUUAGUAUUUGGUCGUAGACCCGAAACCAGGUGAUCUACCCUUGGUCAGGUUGAAGUUCAGGUAACACUGAAUGGAGGACCGAACCGACUUACGUUGAAAAGUGAGCGGAUGAACUGAGGGUAGCGGAGAAAUUCCAAUCGAACCUGGAGAUAGCUGGUUCUCUCCGAAAUAGCUUUAGGGCUAGCCUCAAGUGAUGAUUAUUGGAGGUAGAGCACUGUUUGGACGAGGGGCCCCUCUCGGGUUACCGAAUUCAGACAAACUCCGAAUGCCAAUUAAUUUAACUUGGGAGUCAGAACAUGGGUGAUAAGGUCCGUGUUCGAAAGGGAAACAGCCCAGACCACCAGCUAAGGUCCCAAAAUAUAUGUUAAGUGGAAAAGGAUGUGGCGUUGCCCAGACAACUAGGAUGUUGGCUUAGAAGCAGCCAUCAUUUAAAGAGUGCGUAAUAGCUCACUAGUCGAGUGACACUGCGCCGAAAAUGUACCGGGGCUAAACAUAUUACCGAAGCUGUGGAUUGUCCUUUGGACAAUGGUAGGAGAGCGUUCUAAGGGCGUUGAAGCAUGAUCGUAAGGACAUGUGGAGCGCUUAGAAGUGAGAAUGCCGGUGUGAGUAGCGAAAGACGGGUGAGAAUCCCGUCCACCGAUUGACUAAGGUUUCCAGAGGAAGGCUCGUCCGCUCUGGGUUAGUCGGGUCCUAAGCUGAGGCCGACAGGCGUAGGCGAUGGAUAACAGGUUGAUAUUCCUGUACCACCUAUAAUCGUUUUAAUCGAUGGGGGGACGCAGUAGGAUAGGCGAAGCGUGCGAUUGGAUUGCACGUCUAAGCAGUAAGGCUGAGUAUUAGGCAAAUCCGGUACUCAUUAAGGCUGAGCUGUGAUGGGGAGAAGACAUUGUGUCUUCGAGUCGUUGAUUUCACACUGCCGAGAAAAGCCUCUAGAUAGAAAAUAGGUGCCCGUACCGCAAACCGACACAGGUAGUCAAGAUGAGAAUUCUAAGGUGAGCGAGCGAACUCUCGUUAAGGAACUCGGCAAAAUGACCCCGUAACUUCGGGAGAAGGGGUGCUCUUUAGGGUUAACGCCCAGAAGAGCCGCAGUGAAUAGGCCCAAGCGACUGUUUAUCAAAA